UUUACCACAUAUUCGUUGUAAUUUUUGUUGCCUCGCAUUCUUUAUAAUUGUUCCAUCACUGUCGGCGAUAGUAAAGUAAAGCUAGGACAAGGUGAGAGAAAUCAGGUUUACAACUAACGCUGGCGAGAGAAAGCACAUUUGCAAUUAAUGCUUUUGCUUUUCUCUAAGAUUAUGUCUUCUAUAUCAGGGUCUGAGGCUCAAUCUAGAGGUCCGACUAAGCAGUAGAGACUUCAGAGAGAAGUAAAUUGUGCAGUGGUGAGCCUUCUUUAUUCUGGAAGGCCUAUUUAUUCAAGACUAUGUUAUUUAUUUUGUUUUAGGUCUAUUGGGGGCCUUGUCCCAAAUUCAGGCAGUUGGUACUUUAGCAUGUAAUAGAGAUUUCACAGAUUGGUUUAGAUGUUGUCUGGAGUUUUUUAAAUUUAAAUUCUUUAUCGUUAAAUUGAGUAGUA